AGGCUGUCACUGGCUCGGCCAGCAUUUAUUGCUGCGUUUACCCAGUGGGCAGUUAAGAAUCAACCACGUUGCUAUAGGUCUGGAGUCCCAUGCAGACCAGACCAGAUCCCAGUGAUCAGUGCCAAAGCCCCAUUGCCUGUGGAGAGGGUGAUGUUUGAUUUCCCUGUCCAGCUGCAGUUCAUGUGGUGAAGGUGCUCCCACAAUGUGGUUGGAUAACAAGACUGAUGGUGUUUACAAUCAUGAUCAGAAACAAACCUCAGAAUACAUGGUUCAUAGAUGGAUGUCAAUAGCCCAUCAACAUCCAACUCCUGCAAUUAUUCAGCAAAUGUAUG